GGGGGGAGCACAGGAUCCUGGGCUGUGUCCCCCAGCGCCCUGGGCUCCGGGACCUGUGCUGCCAGAAUCUCACUCGCGGGCUGUGCAGCCCCCG
rnacentral:pre_miRNA from 1 species